AAGAUUUUAUGAUAAAUAAUCAUUUAACCUUCAAAGUUAAAAAUAUAAAUUAUAAUUUUAUAAAUCUUA
rnacentral:tRNA from 1 species